rnacentral:lncRNA from 1 species
AUGGGUCCAGCUGCCUGGUGUGGGAGAGGGAUGAUGAAGGAUGAGUUCUCCAGCCUGGAGGAAGAUGAGGAAACUAAGGGUGUGAGAAGCAGCAUAUUGCCCAAAGUCACUCCACACGUUUGUGGCAAUUUGGACCUACGCCUGGAACUCCUUGUUCCUAGUCCAGUGAGCAUUUCUCCAGCCACAGCCUUUAGACACAGGAACUUGUCAAGCAAGUGUGUUUUACAAGUGUGUCGUUCUAUCUGGUUGGAACAUUUUAUGGUCAUGAUUCAAUCAGUAGCAUGUCUAAAUGCACUUAAUAAUGGGUAAGGUCCUCCCAGAGUGUUAUUCAAAGUUCUUUUGAAGUAGAGGAGG